rnacentral:rRNA from 1 species
GACGAACGCUGGCGGCAUGCCUAACACAUGCAAGUCAACUUGACUGAAGGAGCAAUCUGACAGUAGAGUGGCGCAAGGGUGCGUAACGCGUAAGUAACUUGCCCAAGGUAAGGAAUAACGUCGAGAAAUCGGCGCUAAUACCUCAUAAUGCAGCGGAUCCGCAUGGAUAUGUUGUUAAAGGUUUACCGCCUUGGGAUAGGCUUGCGUCUGAUUAGCUAGUUGGUGUGGUAACGGCACACCAAGGCUACGAUCAGUAACUGGUCUGAGAGGAUGAUCAGUCACACUGGAACUGAGACACGGUCCAGACUCCUACGGGAGGCAGCAGUGAGGAAUAUUGGGCAAUGCUCGAAAGAGUGACCCAGCAACGCCGCGUGGAGGAUGAAGGUAUUCUAUAUCGUAAACUCCUGUGAGAGCAGACGAAGACAGAUUAUUAAUCUGGAUGACUGUAUGCUCAGAGGAAG